AGUGAACGCUGGCGGUAGGCCUAACACAUGCAAGUCGAACGGCAGCACAGUAAGAGCUUGCUCUUACGGGUGGCGAGUGGCGGACGGGUGAGGAAUACAUCGGAAUCUACUUUUUCGUGGGGGAUAACGUAGGGAAACUUACGCUAAUACCGCAUACGACCUACGGGUGAAAGCAGGGGAUCUUCGGACCUUGCGCGAUUGAAUGAGCCGAUGUCGGAUUAGCUAGUUGGCGGGGUAAAGGCCCACCAAGGCGACGAUCCGUAGCUGGUCUGAGAGGAUGAUCACCCACCCUGGAACUGAGACACGGUCCAGACUCCUACGGGAGGCCGCAGUGGGGAAUAUUGGACAAUGGGCGCGAGCCUGAUCCAGCCAUACCGCGUGGGUGAAGAAGGCCUUCGGGUUGUAAAGCCCUUUUGUUGGGAAAGAAAAGCAGCAGGUUAAUACCCCGCUGUUCUGACGGUACCCAAAGAAUAAGCCCCGGCUAACUUCGUG
rnacentral:rRNA from 1 species